GCCUUGCAGCGUGAUCUCAGACUGCUGUGCUAGCAAUCAGCAAGACUCUGUGGGCAUAGGACCCUCCGAGCCAGGUGCGGGACACAAUCUCCUAGUGUGCCGUUUUCCAGGCCCGUUGGAAAAGCGCAGUAUUAGGACGGGACUGACCCGAUAUUCCAGGUGCCGUCUGUUUCCCCUUUCUUUGACUAGGAAAGGGAACUCCCUGACCCCUUGCGCUUCCCGAGUGAGGCAAUGCCUUGCCCUGCUUCGGCUCGCGCACAGUGCGCUUCACCGACUGUCCUGCACCCACUGUUAGGCACUCCCUAGUGAGAUGAAACCGGUACCUCAAGCAGAAAUGCAGAAAUCACCCGUCUUCUGUGUCGCUGGGGCUGGGAGCUGGAGACCAGAGCUGUUCCUAUUCGGCCAUCUUGGCUCCACCCCAUACCACAAUUUCUUUAUCCACUCUGAUUGAUGGGCAUUUGGGCUGCUUCCACAUCUUUGCAGUUGUGAAUUGUGCUGCUAUAAACAUGCAUGUGCAAGUAUCUUUUUCUUAUAAUGACUUCUUUUCCUCUGGGUAGAUACCCAGUAGUGGGAUUACUGGAUCAAAUGAUAGUCCUUUCUGCUUUUAGUUAUUUAAAGAAUCUCUACAUUGUUUUCCAUAGUGGUUGUACUAGUUUACAUUCCCACCAGCUGUAUAAACAUGUUCCCUUUUCACCGCAUCCACGCUAACAUCUGUUAUUUUUUGAUUUUUGGAUUAUGGCCAUUCUCGCAGGAGUAAUGCGGUAUCACAUUGUAGUUUUGAUUUGCAUUUCCCAGAUCAUUAGUGAUGUUGAGCAUUUUUUCCUAUGUUUGUUGGCCAUUUGUGUAUCUUCUUUUGAGAAUUGUCUACUCAUGUCCUCAGCCCAGUUUUUGAUAGGAUUGUUUGUUAUUUUUUCUUGCUAAUUUGUUUGAGUUCCUUGUAGAUUAUAGAUAUUAGUCCUUUGUCAGAUGUAUAGAUUGUGAAGAUUUUCUCCCACUCUGUGGGUUGUCUGUUUACUCUGCUGACUGUUCCUUUUGCUGUGCAGAAGUUUUUAUGAAGCAAGUCUUUGAGGAGGAUAUUUUGUCUCAUAAAAGUUACUACAAGCAUCAAGAAAGUAGAUUCCGGCUGGGCGCGGUGGCUCACGCCUGUAAUCCCGGCACUUUGGGAGGCCAAGAUGGGCGGAUCACGAGGUCAGGAGAUCGAGACCAUCCUGGCUAACACGGUGAAACCUGUCUCUACUAAAAAUACAAAAAAUUAGCCAGGCGUGGUGUUGGGUGCCUGUAGUCCCAGCUACUCAGGCGGCUGAGGCAGGAGAAUGGCAUGAACCCGGGAGGCGGAGCUUGCCGUGAGCCGAGAUCGCACCACUGCACUCCAGCCUGGGGGACAGAGCGAGACUCCGUCUCAAAAAAAGGAAAGUGGAUUCCUCUUCCAGUUUCUUGCCUAGCUUAAAGCCAUGUAAUGCUUGCCAGCUCAUAUUGUGAUUUUUCUGGCUUUCAACACUUUGAUUGGGAUUUACCAUUUUAUUAAAUAAGCUUAGGAGCUGGAGGGGGGGUGCUGUCCAGGGUCAGUUCAGUCAACCGCCGUUUCUCUUUGCACUUCACAGAAUGUGGAUUGUCUCUCUGUUCAUAGGCUCUGCUGGGCUCUCUGAGCUCAGAACCUUCAGAUUUGUUGGGCAAGACCACAGAUAGUCAUGGAGAUGAGGAUGAUCUCCCACUUCCACCUGUGCCCUCCCUGGCCAGCACAUCAUCAUUGUCAUUGGAACCACCUUCUUCGUAACUGUCCUCCUCCAAGCAGUGUUUGCCAAGCAUGGUGCUAGGUGCCGGAGAAUAAGCUAGAGGACAAGAAAGAAGAAACACAUAGAAGUAUUAACCCUCAGCAGAAGAAGGCGUGCCCACCUGGGAGAAGUGACAGUGGCGAUCUUAUAGAGCCUGUGGCAUGCUCUGCAGAUCGUGCACACAGCCGAAUAAGAUGCUGGUGCUGGCUUCUUAGCAAACCAUAAUAUAUUUAGUUUGGAGGAACUUUUGUUUUUUGCUAGGAUGAAAAACAACUUGAAACUCAGGAUACAUACAAGAGAUCAAAAUAAAAACCAUGGAAGUACAGUGA